rnacentral:rRNA from 1 species
UACGUAGGGUGCAAGCGUUGUCCGGAAUUAUUGGGCGUAAAGGGCGCGUAGGCGGCCAUUCAAGUCGGAGGUGAAAGCCCAGGGCUCAACCCUGGAAUUGCCUUCGAUACUGUUUGGCUAGAGACCGGAAGAGGUAAGUGGAACUGCGAGUGUAGAGGUGAAAUUCGUAGAUAUUCGCAAGAACACCAGUGGCGAAGGCGGCUUACUGGUCCGGUUCUGACGCUGAGGCGCGAAAGCGUGGGGAGCAAACAGG